AGGACGAACGCUGGCGGCGUGCUUAACACAUGCAAGUCGAGCGGAAAGGCCCUUUCGGGGGUACUCGAGCGGCGAACGGGUGAGUAACACGUGAGUAACCUGCCCUUGACUUUGGGAUAACCCUCGGAAACGGGGGCUAAUACCGGGUAUGACCUUUCACUGCAUGGUGGGGGGUGGAAAGCUUUUGCGGUCAGGGAUGGGCUCGCGGCCUAUCAGCUUGUUGGUGGGGUGAUGGCCUACCAAGGCUUUGACGGGUA
rnacentral:rRNA from 1 species